UACGUAGGGUGCGAGCGUUAAUCGGAAUUACUGGGCGUAAAGCGUGCGCAGGCGGUCUUGCAAGACAGAUGUGAAAUCCCCGGGCUUAACCUGGGAACUGCAUUUGUGACUGCAAGGCUGGAGUACGGUAGAGGGGGAUGGAAUUCCGCGUGUAGCAGUGAAAUGCGUAGAUAUGCGGAGGAACACCGAUGGCGAAGGCAAUCCCCUGGACCUGUACUGACGCUGAGACGCGAAAGCGUGGGGAGCAAACAGG
rnacentral:rRNA from 1 species